GUCGAGAAUCUUUCACAAUGGGGGCAACCCUGAUGGAGCGACGCCGCGUGGAGGAUAGGUCUUCGGAUUGUAAACUCCUGUCAUGCGUGAACAAGGUUGCUUGGUUAAUACCUGGGCAAAUUGAUGGUAACGCAAGAGGAAGAGACGGCUAACUCUGUGCCAGCAGCCGCGGUAAUACAGAGGUCUCAAGCGUUGUUCGGAAUCACUGGGCGUAAAGGGUGCGUAGGUGGCGUGGUAAGUCAGAUGUGAAAGCCCGGGGCUCAACCUCGGAACUGCAUCCGAUACUGCCAUGCUAGAGUACUGGAGAGGUGACUAGAAUUCUCGGUGUAGCAGUGAAAUGCGUAGAUAUCGAGAGGAAUACCAAAGGCGUAGGCAGGUCACUGGACAGUUACUGACACUGAGGCACGAAGGCCAGGGGAGCGAACGGGAUUAGAUACCCUAGUAGUCC
rnacentral:rRNA from 1 species